rnacentral:rRNA from 1 species
UGGGGAAUCUUGCGCAAUGGGCGAAAGCCUGACGCAGCAACGCCGCGUGGGGGAUGAAGGCCUUCGGGUUGUAAACCCCUUUCAGUGGGGACGAAAUUGACGGUACCCACAGAAGAAGCCCCGGCUAACUACGUGCCAGCAGCCGCGGUAACACGUAGGGGGCAAGCGUUGUCCGGAUUUAUUGGGCGUAAAGAGCUCGUAGGCGGUUCGCUAAGUCGGGUGUGAAAACUCUGGGCUCAACUCAGAGACGCCACCCGAUACUGGCGUGACUCGAGUCCGGUAGGGGAGCAUGGAAUUCCUGGUGUAGCGGUGAAAUGCGCAGAUAUCAGGAGGAACACCAGUGGCGAAGGCGGUGCUCUGGGCCGGUACUGACGCUGAGGAGCGAAAGCGUGGGUAGCAAACAGGAUUAGAUACCCCCGUAGUCC